rnacentral:tRNA from 1 species
UGGUGGUUCAGUGGUAGAAUUCAUGCCUUCCGUGCAGGAGCCCUGGGUUCAAUUCCCAGCCA